AUUGCAGUAAUGUUGGUUUAGUACCGAUGUACCUGCUGCGUCACAUGUGUGACAUUAGCUGGCAAAGAGAAAGAGGCUUGUCUACAUCCAGUGUUGUGACCUGUGAGCAACUGGGUGGUUGAUAGUCUAACACU
ensembl:snoRNA